CAGUCGCCACGGUAAUGCGUAGGUGGCAAGCGUUGUCCGGAAUUAUUGGGCGUAAAGGGCUCGCAGGCGGUUUCUUAAGUCUGAUGUGAAAGCCCCCGGCUCAACCGGGGAGGGUCAUUGGAAACUGGGAAACUUGAGUGCAGAAGAGGAGAGUGGAAUUCCACGUGUAGCGGUGAAAUGCGUAGAGAUGUGGAGGAACACCAGUGGCGAAGGCGACUCUCUGGUCUGUAACUGACGCUGAGGAGCGAAAGCGUGGGGAGCGAACAGGAUUAGAUACCCCGGUAGUCCCUGUCUCUUAUAC
rnacentral:rRNA from 1 species